AAAAAAGAGCGCCUUUCUCAAAGGCUAUCAAUGAUAGCCCUAAAUAUCAAUGAUAGCCUUUGAGUAAGGCGCUCUUUUA